rnacentral:lncRNA from 1 species
UGAUGAAGGAUAUCUUAAUCAUAUUUAUUUCACUUUUAUCUAAUGCUAGCAAACUUUCCAGGGAUAGAUAAUCUGCCAUUAUUUACCCAGCUGACUAGAUGUAUAGAGUUUGUAUUUUCUUGAUAAAAAAUAUUUUCCUAAUACAUGUAUAUCCAUAUGGAAUCCAUUUUUAUAAAUAGUGUGGAGGGAAUUUUUUCACCCAAAAGGCUGGUCAGCAUC